UACGAAGGGACCUAGCGUAGUUCGGAAUUACUGGGCUUAAAGAGUUCGUAGGUGGUUGAAAAAGUUAGUGGUGAAAUCCCAGAGCUUAACUCUGGAACUGCCAUUAAAACUUUUCAGCUAGAGUAUGAUAGAGGAAAGCAGAAUUUCUAGUGUAGAGGUGAAAUUCGUAGAUAUUAGAAAGAAUACCAACUGCGAAGGCAGCUUUCUGGAUCAUUACUGACACUGAGGAACGAAAGCAUGGGUAGCGAAGAGG
rnacentral:rRNA from 1 species